UGCAAGUGAUGUUUUUUCUCACGAUGGUCUUCCAAACCUGCAAGGUUCUGACGACAAUGCCACUUUGGCAAAGCUGAUGCAGCUAA